GGUGUUGUGGCUCAGUGGUAGAGCACUUGCCUCGAACACGUAAGGCAGUAGGUAAGAUCCUCAGCAUCA
rnacentral:tRNA from 1 species